GCGCUGGUAGCUCAAUUGGAUAGAGCGUUGGCCUCCGAAGCCAAAGGUUGUGGGUUCGAUUCCCGCCCAGCGCA
rnacentral:tRNA from 1 species